CUGUGAUAAAUAAAUUUCUGUUGUUUAGAAGUCACCCAGUCUAUGGUAAUUUGUUACAGCAGCCUGAAUGGAUUAAGACAGCCAUUCAGUCCCAGCUCAGACCAGAGCCCAAGGCUUCACUGACCACAGGAGCAGGCAAGGGUCUGGGGCAAGAGAGGAGGAACUGCUGUGCCCAGAUCGGCAGGCUCAAGUGGGAGAGGCACUGGACUAGGGGAUGAGUGAGCAAGAG
rnacentral:lncRNA from 1 species